AACGCAAAUUGCGCCCGAGGUUUCGGCCGAGGGCAUGUCUGCUUGAGCGCCGCUGGACCCCCCUCGCCCAACCCGUUCCUCUCACGAGGCUCGGACGGCGGAUGUUGGCCGCCUCGGAGCACGAGCGGAGUGUCGAAGUGCAUCGCAUUACGCACCCCGUUCUCGAGCCGGCUGGAAUUUAUAGGCUCGCCCCCGGAUUGCACAUGGCACCCGGCGGGGACGACGCGUUCCCAUCGUGGAUGCGCCCCUGCCCGGACCCGUCUGUGCAUUCGACUCAUUCGAGUCGCCGUGAGCGCGCUUUUAUUGUGCCCGAUAGUCGACUCGAGGUGGCUUCUGCCAUCGCGUGCGCCUUCGGUGUCACAGGAACUAUGUUCCCAACCUUGGCCUCAAGUCAGGCAGGAUUACCCGCUGAAUUUAA
rnacentral:misc_RNA from 1 species